rnacentral:rRNA from 1 species
AACACGUAAAGAACCUGCCCUCAGGUCUGGGAUAACCACGAGAAAUCGGGGCUAAUACCGGAUGGGUCAUCGGACCGCAUGGUCCGAGGAUGAAAGACGCUUCGGCGUCGCCUGGGGAUGGCUUUGCGGUGCAUUAGCUAGUUGGUGGGGUAAUGGCCCACCAAGGCGACGAUGCAUAGCCGACCUGAGAGGGUGAUCGGCCACACUGGGACUGAGACACGGCCCAGACUCCUACAGGAGGCAGCAGUAGGGAAUCUUCCACAAUGGACGAAAGUCUGAUGGAGCAACGCCGCGUGAACGAUGAAGGCCUUCGGGUCGUAAAGUUCUGUUGUAAGGGAAGAACAAGUGCCGCAGGCAAUGGCGGCACCUUGACGGUACCUUGCGAGAAAGCCACGGCUAACUACGUGCCAGCAGCCGCGGUAAUACGUAGGUGGCAAGCGUUGUCCGGAAUUAUUGGGCGUAAAGCGCGCGCAGGCGGCCUCUUAAGUCUGAUGUGAAAGCCCCCGGCUCAACCGGGGAGGGCCAUUGGAAACUGGGAGGCUUGAGUAUAGGAGAGAAGAGUGGAAUUCCACGUGUAGCGGUGAAAUGCGUAGAGAUGUGGAGG